UACGUAGGGACCAAGCGUUGUUCGGAUUUACUGGGCGUAAAGGGCGCGUAGGCGGCGCAACAAGUCACUUGUGAAAUCUCCGGGCUUAACCCGGAGCGGCCAAGUGAUACUGUCGUGCUAGAGUGCGGAAGGGGCUACUGGAAUUCUCGGUGUAGCGGUGAAAUGCGUAGAUAUCGGAAGGAACGCCGGUGGCGAAAGCGAUCGGACUGGACCUUUUCUGACGCUGAGGCGCGAAAGCCAGGGGAGCAAACGGG
rnacentral:rRNA from 1 species